rnacentral:rRNA from 1 species
UACGUAGGGUGCAAGCGUUGUCCGGAAUUAUUGGGCGUAAAGAGCUCGUAGGUGGUCUGUCGCGUCGGAUGUGAAAAUCCAGGGCUCAACCCUGGACCUGCAUUCGAUACGGGCAGACUAGAGUUCGGUAGGGGAGACUGGAAUUCCUGGUGUAGCGGUGUAAUGCGCAGAUAUCAGGAGGAACAUCGGUGGCGAAGGCGGGUCUCUGGGCCGUAACUGACACUGAGGCGCGACAGCGUGGGGAGCAAACAGG